rnacentral:snoRNA from 1 species
AAUUUGUAACCUUGUGAUACAGCCUCUUGCAAGGACAAUUGCUUGUGGCGAAACAUGGUUACAUAAAGCAAAACAAGGAAGCUAAGGCGGGACUUCUGGAGGUUGAGGAGUUCUACGUGUUCUACGUGCGAUGUUCCUUGGACAGAAUGUCUUCAGAGAGCCCUGCUUUCCACGGCGGUGACGGACCAUCAUGUACCCUCACCUUUCUUGAAGCAGGAAGAAAAAGCCUUGUGUGGUAACCAGCUAUUGUUUGGAAGGGGAAGGUUUUCCUGUCAAACACUUGAUUUGUCACAUUC